rnacentral:rRNA from 1 species
ACGCUCGACACCUACUGGAGGCAGCAGUCGGGAAUAUUGCGCAAUGGAGGGAACUCUGACGCAGUGACGCCGCGUAUAGGAAGAAGGUUUUCGGAUUGUAAACUAUUGUCGUUAGGGAAGAGAAAGGACAGUACCUAAGGAGGAAGCUCCGGCUAACUACGUGUCAGCAGCCGCGGUAAUCUGAGCGGGCUGGCAAGGC